rnacentral:lncRNA from 1 species
CAUAGAUAAAAAACAAAGUGGGUGUCAUUGGGGUCUUAGCGAGACGCGGGAUUGCCAUUUUUGUGUAAGCGUGACACGUAAAAGUCAAAUUAUUGUGCCGGGAAAACGGAAAAUGACGUCUAGCGGGACACGGGAAAUUACAAAAAAAUGAGAAUUGCUUAUGUACAUAGUGAAAGUGGGAUACGGGAAUCUGACAAAACAGUAAGCGGGAUCCGGGAUCAGAACCCCCCAAUGAGACCCCCAACA